rnacentral:lncRNA from 1 species
AACGUCUCUCGCCUUUCCUUUCUUUCAUUAUAGAGGUUUUGUAAGAGAGUUGAGUGUUAGGAAACACUUGUAUGAACCUUUUCUUUGGAGUGAUCUUGUGAGGUUAUUCUCUUGGGGUAUUUAGAAUUAAUUAGAGUAUUUACUCUAAUUUUGUAUUCUUGUUGCUAUAAUGAAAUUGUUCCCCUCCGCUUGUGGACGUAGGUCACACUGACCGAACUACGUUAAAUUGGUGCCUUCUUUAUAUGCUUUAAAUACCAUUAUUAUCAGCUUGCAUUGUUUUUGUUAUUGUCAUUAUAAUAUUAUUUGGCUAAAUUCUACACUACCUGGGUUCCGAUCUUUGGUAUAUAAAACAUUGUUUUAUGUUUUUUGUAGCAAUAUUGAAGCUGAAAAGGAUGAAAAGGCAACCAAAACUCAACCAAAUAGUCAAAAGAUGCUGAAGUUCUGCGGGCGGAAUAAGACAUGCUCCUAGUUCGCGCAUAACUGAUUCGAGAGCUGAACGUCAAGUAUGAAGAUUCCACUAUUGCAGGUGCCCAAGACAAGUUCUCUACCCGUCUACCGUAUGCAAAUUAAAGUUCUGAGCAGGAAAAUUGGACCAUUGCUACCGUAAGCGAGGAAGUCUAGUUGCAACCGUGCACACAAAAAAACAUCAGAGAGGUGCAAAAUAACUUUUGCUACUGCUGUUGGUGAACUUUAGUUUCUGAGGCCACACUACUCCAGUUCCUGCCAGCUCGAUCACCAACGAACACGUACAAAAGAUCUGCAGGCGGUGCUAGCAUGCCUCGGUGCACACACAAUUCUGGCGGCCAUGGUAAGUAUAAGUCAAAAUCCAAACCUAUAGAUACCCAUGUAAGGCUCUAUUUUGGAGGACGACUUCGGAAAGGAUGUUAGACUUUUAGAGAGUUUAAUUUCCUACUUUUCUUAGGUUAGUUUAUACAGGAUCA